rnacentral:tRNA from 1 species
CAGGGAGACAACAAAAUGUUUAAUAUUAUUAUUUUGUCACCUUAGGUCGAUCGGUAUCUCACGUUCUUAAUUUAUUAAGGAUUUCAUUUCCUAAGUUUUUCUAGGUCACACCCAUUAUUUUUCCUGGGCCAUUAGCUCAGGUGGUUAGAGCGCACCCCUGAUAAGGGUGAGGUCCCUGGUUCAAGUCCAGGAUGGCCCAUAUCUCUAUGUUGGGGGUAUAGCUCAGUUGGUAGAGCGCCUGCUUUGCAAGCAGGAUGUCAGCGGUUCGAGUCCGCUUACCUCCACUGAUUACCACCUCUUACAUAAUCUGUAGAAAGGGAAUUUUUUGAGUCGUGACCAAAUUCUGAAAGAAUCUAGCUUCCUAAUGAAAUCAUUAAGAUGCUGGACUCAUUGAAUUAAUUUCAUUGUUUUCAGAGAACCUUGACAACUGCAUAGAUUAUUUUUUUUAAAGACAAUAAGCAUCUUUAAUGAUGCAGAUUUAUUAUUUGUGCGAAUGCAUUAAUAACAAUUCUAUUAAGCUGAUGCUUCAAUUUUUGAAGUUAUU